GUGCUUGCUUCGGCAGCACACAUCCUAAAAUUGCAACGAUACGGAGAAGAUUAGCAUGGCCCCAGCACAAGGAUGACAUGCAAAUUCCAUAUUUUUACCAACCAUAU